rnacentral:rRNA from 1 species
UACGUAGGGUGCGAGCGUUGUCCGGAAUUAUUGGGCGUAAAGGGCUCGUAGGCGGUUUGUCGCGUCGGGAGUGAAAACCUCGGGCUUAACUCGGGGCUUGCUUUCGAUACGGGCAGACUAGAGGUAUGCAGGGGAGAACGGAAUUCCUGGUGUAGCGGUGAAAUGCGCAGAUAUCAGGAGGAACACCGGUGGCGAAGGCGGUUCUCUGGACAUGAUCUGACGCUGAGACGCGAAAGCGUGGGGAGCAAACAGG